rnacentral:rRNA from 1 species
GCACAAGCGGAGGAACAUGUGGUUUAAUUCGAUGAUACGCGAGGAACCUUACCUGGCUUAAAUGUAGAGUGCAUUUUUUAGAGAUAGAAAUUCCCUUCGGGGCUUUCUGCAAGGUGCUGCAUGGUUGUCGUCAGCUCGUGCCGUGAGGUGUCGGGUUAAGUCCCAUAACGAGCGCAACCCUUAUCGUUAGUUGCCAUCUGGUAAUGCAGGGGACUCUAGCGAAACUGCCACCGUAAGGUGAGAGGAAGGUGGGGAUGACGUCAAAUCAGCACGGCCCUUAUGUCCAGGGCUACACACGUGUUACAAUGGUCGGUACAGAGGGCAGCUACCUGUUGACAGGAUGCGAAUCUCGAAAGCCGGUCUCAGUUCGGAUCGGAGUCUGCAACCCGACUCCGUGAAGCUGGAUUCGCUAGUAAUCGCGCAUCAGCCAUGGCGCGGUGAAUACGUUCCCGGGCCUU